CCGCGCCAGGUAGCUGGUCGCAUGUAUUGCACCAACUUCUGUGGGUGAGCAAGACCAGCUUUGCAGCUGCCCAGAGCUCUGCUUCAGCCUCCUGUCUGGUGAUGAGAUCACUAUGAGUCUGGUGGGAGCCAUUCUGAGCAGUCCAACCUGCAUGGCUGUGACCUGGAAUGAGCUACAGCAGAUACUGGGAAAAAUUAAUGGAAAUUCUUCUCUCCUUGGACUACUUGGAGGAAGCUCUAAUCAAAAGCUUCCCAAAUCAUGGUCAGCAGGACACUUGCUGUUGGUCUACAGAAAGCUGGCUGGUCACAUAAAUGGCUUAGUUCCUUUUUAGAUUUUUUUCUAAUGGAAAUUUAGCUAAGGGCCUGAUUCAAAGUCUACUGAAGUCAAAUGAAUGAUUCAAGCUGACUUCAUUGUGAUUUAGAUCAGGGCUAAGUGUUUUUUUUUCAGGCUUGGAGUUCAAAAGCCAGGAUGGUGCUACAUUUCUGAAAGACAAGAGUUUGCUCAUAUUAAUGCCUCAUUAUACCUGUUCCAUAGUACCACAGGGGGUGGGGGCGGGGAAAUCAUUCUGUGUGAUUUCCCCCACCCAAAUGAAGCAAAGAAGAGUAGGCAGCCAUGACAAAAGUUUCUCCUUGACAAGCGUACCAGAGCGAGUGUUGUAAAUCUCCAGUGACAGUGCUUUGCAGUCAUUGAAUGAAAUGUGCUGCAGUCUACCUUGCUUCUGUGUUUUAAAGAGUGAAAUACAACAUGGAGGGUGGAUUAUGAAAAAUAUUUGUAACAAUGCUUAAAACUGUAUUCUGCACUGUUUGUAUGUUGUCACUCCUUAAUAUAGCCUUUAAUCUUAAUGUAAAAACUAUAGAUGACCUUGUUUUAUGGGUGUUAUUGGCAAUUCUAAUCAGAUGGCCUGAUUUUCAAAAGAACUCAGCUCUCAUGUAGAUUCUUAAAAGAAAUGUCCAGAUUUUCAGAAGUCCUCAGCAUGCAGCAGUUCCAGUUGUUGUGCUGGGUACUCAGAUCUUUUGAAAAUCUGGCCAAUAUUGUGCAGUACAGCAAGUUAUUCACUAUAGGAAAACAAGUUUUUACCUUUUCCUCUUGGCAAUUCAAAAUAAUGCUGUCUCCAUUUGUAGCUCCCCAAACACCUUCCACGAGUGCUAUAAACCAUUUGAACUGUUAUUUUACUACAUUUUUAAAAAGUAAAGUGAUUUUGCAGUUGAA